rnacentral:misc_RNA from 1 species
CCGAGUUUACAACACCCAAACCCCUGUGAACAUACCAAUUGUUGCCUCGGCGGAUCAGCCCGCUCCCGGUAAAACGGGACGGCCCGCCAGAGGACCCCUAAACUCUGUUUCUAUAUGUAACUUCUGAGUAAAACCAUAAAUAAAUCA